CCUACGGGAGGCUGCAGUCGAGGAUCUUCGGCAAUGGGCGCAAGCCUGACCGAGCGAUGCCGCGUGCGCGACGAAGGCCUUCGGGUUGUAAAGCGCGAAGGUGGGGAGAAACGCCGAAAGGCUUGAUCUAUCCACAGUAAGCUCGGGCUAAGUUCGUGCCAGCAGCCGCGGUAAGACGAACCGAGCGAACGUUGUUCGGAAUCACUGGGCUUAAAGGGCGCGUAGGCGGGCUGUCAAGUCUGGGGUGAAAUCCCGCGGCUCAACCGCGGAACUGCCUCAGAUACUGACGGUCUCGAGGGGGGUAGGGGCGAGCGGAACUGUGAGUGGAGCGGUGAAAUGCGUUGAUAUUCACAGGAACUCCGUGGCGAAGGCGGCUCGCUGGACCCUUCUGACGCUGAGGCGCGAAAGCCAGGGGAGCAAACGGGAUUAGAUACCCCUGU
rnacentral:rRNA from 1 species